CUCUGCUUCAGCUGUGAGGCCACAGAAGGCAGGACUCAGGGAUGGACUCCACCAUGGCCUGGUCCCCUCUCCUGCUCACCCUCCUGGCUCACUGCACAGGAUCCUGGGCCCAGGCUGUGCUGACUCAGCCGCCCUCAGUGUCAGGCAGCCUAGGACAGAGGGUCACCAUCUCCUGCACUGGGAGCAGCACCAACAUUGGGCGUGGUGGUGGUCAUGUGUACUGGCUCCAACAGGCCCCAGGAAAAUCCCCUAGAAUCGUCAUCUAUGAUACUAGCAAUAGACCCUCUGUGAUUCCCCACCGCUUCUCUGGAUCCAGGUCUGGCAGCUCAGCCACCCUGACCAUCAGUGGGCUCCAGGUUGAGGACGAGGCCAACUAUUACUGCACAGCAUGGGACAGUAGUAGCAGUGCUCCCACAGUGCUGGUGGGCUGUGGGGAAGUGAGACAAAAACCUGCUGUCCCCUGCAGUGCAGUUCCCCGGUGCAGCCCCCACUCCUCUGAGAAGACAGCUGCUUUCUAG